GUCUCGGUAGUUCAACGGAUAAAACAACCCCGUCCUAAGGGGUAGCUGGAGGUUCGAUUCCUCCCCGGGACA
rnacentral:tRNA from 1 species